UACGAGGGGGGCGAGCGUUGUUCGGAUUUAUUGGGCGUAAAGGGUGCGUAGGCGGCGGAGUAAGUUGGGUGUGAAAUCCCGGGGCUCAACCUCGGAAUUGCAUUCAAUACUGCUUCGCUCGAGUACUGGAGAGGAGGCUGGAAUUUACGGUGUAGCAGUGAAAUGCGUAGAUAUCGUAAGGAAGGCCGGUGGCGAAAGCGAGCCUCUGGACAGUUACUGACGCUGAUGCACGAAGGCCAGGGGAGCAAACGGG
rnacentral:rRNA from 1 species